CUGGUAAAAACCCUCCUCAUGGAUAUUUCUCAAGGUUAGUUCUUGAAAUAAAUAUUUACAUAUGCUAUAUAUUAGAUUUGUUUGUUCUUGGGAAUUGUUUGAAAACGUUGUAUGUUAUAGAAAUAUUAAACAGGCCUUAGGGCCCGGAUUCUUAACGUAUAAAAUGUCAAUAUUAGCUAAAAUGAUUAGAGCUUUAAUAUUAUCUAAUGUUUUUUUAGAUUCUCAAACCUUCACUCAGAUUCUCCGAGAUAUAACUGAACUCGAACCGGCCGUAGGGUCUCCGGAACAAAUUGUUUACAUCCCAACGCCGACCCUGAAUUGUACGGAAAUACAUCCUAGAACGGGUGCCAUAGGGAGUCUACACGGUUUCUGUGAAGGAUAUGCCUACGAGACAAUUGUGCCCUACUCCCAGGAUGUAUUUACACACAAGCCGCAAACAGAGACUUUAAACGGCCUGUCAACUCCCCUGACCCAGGACCGUUGGACGCCCCCUAUUAAACACCAACGGACAAUCAGGGCCCAGAUCCACAGGUCCGCUUCACCCGAACAAUACUACUGGGAGGGUAUUCACGAGACAGCGUUACAAGGACAAGGCUCACAAGCUACAGACCAGGCCGAUGCUAUAAUUAGGGUUGCCCAAAGACAUGUUCCCGAGUU